rnacentral:rRNA from 1 species
GAUGAACGCUGACAGAAUGCUUAACACAUGCAAGUCUACUUGAACUUCGGUUUGGGUGGCGGACGGGUGAGUAACGCGUAAAGAACUUGCCUCACAGAUAGGGACAACAUUUGGAAACGAAUGCUAAUACCGGAUAUUAUGAUUUUAGGGCAUCCUAGAAUUAUGAAAGCUAUAUGCACUGUGAGAGAGCUUUGCGUCCCAUUAGCUAGUUGGAGAGGUAACGGCUCACCAAGGCGAUGAUGGGUAGCCGGCCUGAGAGGGUGAUCGGCCACAAGGGGACUGAGACACGGCCCGUACGCCUACGGGAGGCAGCAGUGGGGAAUAUUGGACAAUGGACCAAGAGUCUGAUCCAGCAAUUCUGUGUGCACGAUGAAGUUUUUCGGAAUGUAAAGUGCUUUCAGUUGGGAAGAAAAAAAUGACGGUACCAACAGAAGAAGUGACGGCUAAAUACGUG